rnacentral:rRNA from 1 species
UGGGGAAUAUUGCACAAUGGGGGAAACCCUGAUGCAGCGACGCCGCGUGAACGAAGAAGGUAUUCGUAUCGUAAAGUUCUGUCCUAUGGGAAGAUAAUGACAGUACCAUAGAAGAAAGCUCCGGCUAAAUACGUGCCAGCAGCCGCGGUAAUACGUAUGGAGCGAGCGUUGUCCGGAAUUAUUGGGCGUAAAGGGUACGCAGGCGGUUUAAUAAGUCGAAUGUUAAAGAUCGGGGCUCAACCCCGUAAAGCAUUGGAAACUGAUAAACUUGAGUAGUGGAGAGGAAAGUGGAAUUCCUAGUGUAGUGGUGAAAUACGUAGAUAUUAGGAGGAAUACCAGUAGCGAAGGCGACUUUCUGGACACAAAAUGACGCUGAGGUACGAAAGCGUGGGGAGCAAACAGG